rnacentral:rRNA from 1 species
AUGCCUGCUCCAAGGCGGACGACUCCGGAGGCACCGGUCGGCGCAGAGACGAAGGCGAGCGCCUCCUCCUCUUUCACGAUGGCGCGCAUCGGCACGGGGCAGUAUCCGGGCGGGCCGGCGGCCUCGGCGGCGGGUGUUAGCGUCGACGGCGCGAGCCACGCGGCCGGCAGAGGAGGUGGUGGAGGCGGAGAUCCAGGGGGCGGUGCAGGCGCGGUUGCAGCCCUGUGCACCAUGGAGGCGCUCAGGCCGGCCACUAGCCAGGGGUCAAACCCCAUGGGCGCCUGGCCACGGGCGCACGAGGCACCAUCGUGGGCGCGUCCAGGGGCAAGGGGAGCACCACGGUGGGCGCGUCCAGCGGCGCGGUGGCGGCCAGGAGCACCAUGUCCAGCGGCGCGGUGGCGGCCAGGAGCGCCACGUACAGCGGCGCUGCGGCCGAAUCGACGGAUGGCUUGCAUCCGGCGACGGAAACGGCGGUGGCCACCAACUCCAUGGUGGCGAAGGGCAAUGAGGCGGUAG